rnacentral:piRNA from 1 species
UAAUACACUUGCCUGAAGACCUUGUAUU